UACGGGGGGGGCUAGCGUUGCUCGGAAUCACUGGGCGUAAAGGGCGCGUAGGCGGAUCUUUAAGUCGGGGGUGAAAGCCCAGGGCUCAACCCUGGAAUGGCCUUCGAUACUGGAGAUCUUGAGACCGGAAGAGGUAAGUGGAACUGCGAGUGUAGAGGUGAAAUUCGUAGAUAUUCGGAAGAACACCAGUGGCGAAGGCGACUUACUGGACACAUAUUGACGCUGAGGUGCGAAAGCGUGGGGAGCAAACAGG
rnacentral:rRNA from 1 species